GACGAACGCUGGCGGCGUGCCUAAUACAUGCAAGUUGAGCGCUGAAGGUUGGUACUUGUACCAACUGGAUGAGCAGCGAACGGGUGAGUAACGCGUGGGGAAUCUGCCUUUGAGCGGGGGACAACAUUUGGAAACGAAUGCUAAUACCGCAUAAAAACUUUAAACACAAGUUUUAAGUUUGAAAGAUGCAAUUGCAUCACUCAAAGAUGAUCCCUCGUUGUAUUAGCUAGUUGGUGAGGUAAAGGCUCACCAAGGCGAUGAUACAUAGCCGACCUGAGAGGGUGAUCGGCCACAUUGGGACUGAGACACGGCCCAAACUCCUACGGGAGGCAGCAGUAGGGAAUCUUCGGCAAUGGACGAAAGUCUGACCGAGCAAUGCCGCGUGAGUGAAGAAGGUGUUCGGAUCGUAAAACUCUGUUGGUAGAGAAGAACGUGGGUGAGAGUGGAAAGCUCAUCAAGUGACGGUAACUAUCCAGAAGGGGACGGCUAACUACGU
rnacentral:rRNA from 1 species